UACGUAGGUCCCGAGCGUUGUCCGGAUUUAUUGGGCGUAAAGGGAGCGUAGGCGGACUUUUAAGUGAGAUGUGAAAUACUCGGGCUCAACUUGAGUGCUGCAUUUCAAACUGGAAGUCUAGAGUGCAGGAGAGGAGAAUGGAAUUCCUAGUGUAGCGGUGAAAUGCGUAGAGAUUAGGAAGAACACCAGUGGCGAAGGCGAUUCUCUGGACUGUAACUGACGCUGAGGCUCGAAAGCGUGGGGAGCAAACAGG
rnacentral:rRNA from 1 species